GAAAUGCGAUACGUAGUGUGAAUUGCAGAAUUCCGUGAACCAUCGAAUCUUUGAACGCAUAUUGCACUCGAGCCUUCGGGCAAGAGUAUGUCUGCCUCAGCAUCGGGUUAAUAUCACUCAACACAUCCCUAUGGUGUGCUGCAGUGGACCUGACUGUUCCAGCUCACUUGAUCUUUCGGGAUCAAUCAAGCUGGAUCAGUUGAAGAUCAGAGGUUAGCUCAAGGACCCGUUAAGGGCCGCAACUGGGUAGGCAGCUCACGCUUGCUAUUCUUAGUUGUUGGCUUGGGACCAUGAGCUCGACCCUCAAACAGGAAACCCAACUUAUUUUCUCGAUCUGAGCUCAGGCAAGAACACCCGCUGAACUUAA
rnacentral:misc_RNA from 1 species